GUUUGGGGUGUCCCUGUCUGGGUUUGGGGUGUCCCUCUCUGGGUUUGGGUGUCCCUCUCUGGGUUUGGAGUGUUCAUGUUUGGGUUUGGGGUGUCCCUGUCUGGGUUUGGGGUGUCCCUGUUUGGGUUUGGAGUCUCCUUGUUUAGGUUUGGGUGUCCCUGUUUGGGUUUGUGUGUCCCUGUCUGGGUUUGGGGUGUCCCUCUCUGGGUUUGGGUGUCCCUGUUUAGGUUUGAGGUGUCCCUGUUUGGGUUUGGAGUGUCCUGGUUUGGGUUUGAGUGUCCUGGUUUGGGUUUGGGUGUCCCUCUCUGGGUUUGGG